rnacentral:rRNA from 1 species
UGGGGAAUUUUGCACAAUGGGGGCAACCCUGAUGCAGCGACGCCGCGUGAUUUAGAAGGCCUUCGGGUUGUAAAAAUCUUUUGUAUAGGAAGAAAAUGACAGUACUAUACGAAUAAGGUCCGGCUAAUUACGUGCCAGCAGCCGCGGUAAUACGUAAGGACCGAGCGUUGUCCGGAAUCAUUGGGCGUAAAGGGUACGUAGGCGGUUAAAAAAGUUAGAAGUGAAAGGCUAUAGCUCAACUAUAGUAAGCUUUUAAAACUGUUUAACUUGAGAGAUGGAAGAGAAAGUGGAAUUCCUAGUGUAGCGGUGAAAUGCGCAGAUAUUAGGAGGAAUACCGGUGGCGAAGGCGACUUUCUGGCCAUUAUCUGACGCUGAGGUACGAAAGCGUGGGUAGCAAACAGG